UUAGGGUUCUCUACACAAAUCGCAUUUUCUCUCCAGGCUUUCCUUUCCAAAACCUCCGUGCCGCCGCUUCUUCUCUUCUGUCUUUCCUCUCCUGGCUUUUCAACUUAGGGUUUCCUCUCUGCUUCCUAUUCUCUCCGCAGCCGCCUCUGCUUCCUAUUCCUCUCUUUACGAAACAAAAAACUUGAUCAUUUGCUUCUCCUUGGCCACCACUUCAAAACUUUUGAUGUUUUCGCUUUCUUUUCUUCUUUUAUGCCUCUCAACUCCCGAGUCCAAGAUUUCCAUUAAUCCCUAGCAAUCGGCGUGAUUCUUCUGGUUGGACUUUUUGUAUAUGACAUUUUCUGGAUCUUUUUUACCCCAAAAAUGGUUAGUGUUGCUAAAUCUUUUGAUGCUUCUAUCAAGAUAAGUGUGUCAUCUUGUGUUCUGUAUAUCUUUUAAAAAUUCUUGUUCUUGGAUUCUGUCUAUCAUAGUUUGCAACCAAGUGUAACAAUAAAUACUUUCUACAGUUUUUGUUCCCAACGGCUGACUCUGCACCUCCAUUUUCAAUGUUGGGUCUUAGGGAUACAGUAUUUCCUGGUAUAGCUUAUAUUCUAAUUGUUCUAAUAGUUGUUGUUAGUUUGCCAUCCUCAUUUUGGCUUCUGUGUUGGGAGUCCAUGGCUGAGUUCUUGAAUUUGAUGUUUGACUGUUUUUCAUCCUCGACUGCUUAUAAGUAGCAGAUGUAUCUGGUGAUGAGAGUCAUCAUUUUGAAUCCAACCCUCUUUAGAGCAUUGCAUUUUUUACAAUCUAAAAUAAUUGGAAAGCUUUUUGUUUUCAUCUCUAAGCUUCUUGUUUGGUUUGUUGGUGAUCCCUUGUGAUGUGCACAUGAUUCUAAAUUGUAUGAAGAAAUACUCGGAAGUGUGCUAAGUAAAAUCUGCAUCUGUAAUUUAUAUAUCUCAGGGCUUUUGGCAUUGCACUUUGAUGUUUCUCAGGGGAAGCAGAACCAAUAUUUCAAGAGUGCUUUUGUAGGAUACUCUGUUGGUUUGAUCCUUGACAAUAAGUGUCAUGAACUGGUUUCAAGCUGUAUAGGAAGGUGUUUUAUGCAUGUCCUUAUCUUUGAAAGUAGAUAGAUACAUUUGAGAAGUGUAAAUUUGUUCCAGUGAGGAGGGUCCAUACUUCUCAUUUCGUUGAUCCUUUUAAUGGUUGUUUAUUUAGUCUGUGCUCUUGUAUAUUGUACUGGUUGUCAUCAGAUUUUUGGGUGUGUACGUCGCUUGGAAUGGGGAAGUAAAACCAAUACUUUUAAAUGGCCGGCUAGCUGCCUGGCUUAUAGCUACUUGAUUCUAAGCUUUGCAACUAAGACAAUGAAAAUAAAACUAGAGGUAGCAACCAGCAAUACAGAAUACAUAAAGUGAGAAAGGCGCUUUUUAGAUGGUGUUCCUGUUAUUGCUAGGAUUAUGCUGUUGAUCAAAGUAAGAAGCCUGUUCUGCUGACAUUGUUCCGUGAUUUUUGAGAUUGAAGUGGGAUGAACCAAAGUAGAUGCUACGGGGUCUGUUGAGUCCAAUCCAAUUAUUAUUGGUACUAGAUUCAGAUUGAAGCAUUGAUAAAUGUGAGAUCUGUUUCUAUGUAUAUUCAUGGUUUCUUAGUUAAUUUGUGUUAGGCUGUUGUAUUACUGGUCACUGUGCUAUAUUUUUUUCUUGGUACUUUUCCCUUCUGGACUUUAAAUCACAGAUUGUUUGCUAAGUCAUAGCAAGCUAGAAUGUUAUAUUGAUUUUUUGAAAGGUGACAUUUUUUAUUA